UACGUAGGUGGCAAGCGUUAUCCGGAUUUAUUGGGCGUAAAGGGAACGCAGGCGGUCUUUUAAGUCUGGUGUGAAAGCCUUCGGCUUAACCGGAGUAGUGCAUUGGAAACUGGGAGGCUUGAGUGCAGAAGAGGAGAGUGGAACUCCAUGUGUAGCGGUGAAAUGCGUAGAUAUAUGGAAGAACACCAGUGGCGAAAGCGGCUCUCUGGUCUGUAACUGACGCUGAGGUUCGAAAGCGUGGGUAGCAAACAGG
rnacentral:rRNA from 1 species